AUUCCACAGUCUUUUCUCUUCCCGUACAGUAGUCAUACACUAACCGUUCUCCUGUAUAGAAUUUUUUUCUCCUAGCUGUUAACAUGUAAAUCUUUCUUACCAAUAUAUAAUACUAACCUUCAUCCUUGUUUUCUCAUCCUCAAAUCCAUCUAAACCAACUUUUACACUUACAUAUUCUCGCUACCCAUUACCGAUUGCCAUCAUCCUUUUGGUUGCUUGUUCUUUAUUUUACAGUAACUACAAACACCAUAUCCUUCCUUCAAACAAUUCACAAGAAAUAUAACCAAAACCAAUCAAGAUUCAAUCACUAAAACUACAACAGCUAUAAUAAGACUCGGCCGACACCACCUGGACGGAACAACUCAGCCACCGCGGAGAACCACACGCACUCAUCAAGCCGCACUGCUGCAAACAGAAGCCGUGAUGAACUCCGCGAAGCCACAGUCCUUCCAACCGCCACAUGAAGCACGACUCCCCAGUGAAUUUACUCGCGAUUCAUCCUUGGACUCUCAAGACACCUAAAGAAAAGCUAAUCGCACGGAUCCGAAAUUGCAACCGGAAAUAACUCCGUUCUCGGACAUCAUCAUCUUCGUCGAGUCGAACCGAUCCACUCACGAACAGCUCCUUCCAGUCGGUAGCCACCACCCUCCGCGUGUACACCGGCAAACCGCCGUGAAACACCCCUUCGUCCGGUGAUGUCACAACGUGAAUCCAACGCUGAACCACCGCGCCAUCCUUCUGGCCGCGCCUACGACGACCACGCGGUCGUACACUCACAGCCAGAACAACCGCACCACAACAGUCGUCCUCGGAUCUCCGACCGCCAUCCUCCACAAAGCAUCGGUCCAAAACACCACCGCUACAGCCAUGGGUAACUCUGCUUCUUUUCGUUUUAGUUUUCUAAGUUUGCUGUUGCUUAUAUUAAUGGGUAUAUUGAUAUCUAUAAAAGAGUUUUUCUAUACUUUAUUAAAACAAUGUUGUGAGAAAGAUGAAGCUGCAUUUGGACAUAUUGGGGUGUGUUACUGUUUUGCUGCUUUGAGUUUUCAUGGUGAGAGAAAAAAGGAUGAGAGAAGACGGGUGGUUCUGUAUGUUUUGAAUCUUUAUUUUUAUUUGUAGUCUUUAAUUACUUUUAAGUCAAUAAAAAAUAAAAAAAAACUAUACUAUGCUUAAUAGAAAAGAGAGACGUGUUGGUCCUAUUUCCAAGGGAGAUAUGUCACUUUAUUUUCUUUAUUUUCUCUACUGCAUGUUAUUAUUUCUUUUGUGUGUUUGUUGAGAUAAAAGAUAUAUUAGUCAUAGUUAGAAAGUGCAUGUUAUAAAAAUGGUUAAACUAAAAUGCAUGUUAUAUAUACUUUGUUAUGAUUUGUUUGUCAAUAAAUGACUUAAUAAUUCUUAUAAGGUAAUGUCUUGAAUAUUAAAAACAAAAAUAAAUUAUCUUUUUUAUAUCAAAAAUUACAAAAAAAAUAAUGUAUUAGAAUUUAGACAUAUUAGAUUUUUAUAUAAAAAAUAUUUGUUUCGAGUAUUAACUUUAUUUUUUUUUCUUUCUUCGAUUAACUUGUGUUCAUAUUUCUACCGUUUUUUCUCUCGUAUAUAUCUCAUUAUUAACAUUUUUUGUUUAUGUGAGUACUACCAUUGUGAACAUUGGACUGUUAUGGUGGACCUUCAAGAGUCGACUACACCUGAUUCGAGCAUCCAGAGUUACCACCAGGAUUCUUCCGACUACGCGCCACGUCAAACCAAAAGCUAAGUCCCGAUCUUUUUCUUAUUUAAUUUUUCUUUUACUUUUUUUAUUUUCAGGGUUUGAUUCCCGCUGUCAAUGAAUUCCUUCUACACUUACUUCUUCUUUUUUAUUUCUUUUGCCAAUUCUUUAAUGAUCAGGGACAAUGCUUAAAUGCUCGAGGCAAACCUUUGCCCAUCAACCUUCAUCAAUUGAAGCUAAGUGUUUUUACCCUUCUUCUUUUAUCAUUAAUUUUUUAUUGAUUAGGGUUAACCAUAUCUGACUUUUGAGUUGAUAAUGCACUCAUCUACGUUUUAUUUAUUUUCCCAUCUUUUCAGGGUUUGCCAACCGCCAAAGCUUGAAUAGUCGGUAACCCUAAACUUUGAUCUCAUUUUAAUUAUUACUUAUGUCAAACCCGCUGGAUUCUUAUUCCCUUCCCCCAUUAUCAUGUAUCUGCUUUUAGUCUGUAUUGAUUGGCCUUGAAGGCACUUAAAUUGCUUUAUA